GAGAAAUACUUGCUUUCUUUAUGAUAACCUUAGCAGUUUGUUUGACUCAUUAAGUCAAGUUCCUAACUCUCAACUCAUUUCAAAGUUUGACACUGGAAAGUGAUCAAGAAGCAUAAGAUCUCCAGGUGAAGUGUGUUUAUUGUAAGCAAGACAUCAUGACCACUGCCACUAUAGGCCCACAGAGAGUGCUGCCAAGCUACCACUGAUGUUACCUUAAGGCCAAAGGGCUCUUC